CUCAGUGGCGAUAGCGCGUUGAAUGCCCCCUGGAUCACAGUUUCCCCUGGAUCACUGAAGCAACUUCGCGCGUGGUUAGUAUCCGGACGGGUGACCACCUGGACAAUCGCGUUCUGAUGGCU
rnacentral:rRNA from 1 species